ACAGGUGGUGCAUGGUUGUCGUCAGCUCGUGUCGUGAGAUGUUGGUUAAGUCCCGCAACGAGCGCAACCCUCGCCUCUAGUUGCCAGCAUUCGGUUGGGCACUCUAGAGGGACUGCCGGCGACAAGUCGGAGGAAGGUGGGGAUGACGUCAAAUCAUCAUGCCCCUUAUGACCUGGGCUACACACGUGCUACAAUGGGCGGUACAAAGGGCUGCGAACCCGCGAGGGGGAGCGAAUCCCAAAAAGCCGCUCUCAGUUCGGAUUGCAGGCUGCAACUCGCCUGCAUGAAGCCGGAAUCGCUAGUAAUCGCGGAUCAGCAUGCCGCGGUCGAAUACGUUCCCGGGCCUU
rnacentral:rRNA from 1 species